GGGCAUAUUCCAGAGUGGCCAAAUGGGGCAGACUGUAAAUCUGCUGGCUUUCGCCUUCGGUGGUUCGAAUCCAUCUGUGCCCA
rnacentral:tRNA from 1 species